UGUGUGGAGUGGACGAUCGCGGCUGGUUAUACCAGGUGAGGAAAGUCCGGGCUUCAUAGGGCAGGAUGCCGGAUAACGUCCGGUGGAGGUGACUCCCAGGCCAGUGCAACAGAGAUAUACCGCCACAGUAAUGUGGUAAGGGUGAAAAGGCGGUGUAAGAGACCACCGUGCAUCCGGUAACGGGUGUAGCCAUGUAAACCCCAUCCGAAGCAAGACCAAAUAUGGAGACUAUGAGGUGGCCCGUCUCGUCUCCGGGUAGGUUGCUUGAGACGGCUGGUAACAGCCGUUCUAGAUAGAUGAUCGUCUUAAAAGACAUAACCCGGCUUAUAGCUCCACACAUUUU
rnacentral:RNase_P_RNA from 1 species